rnacentral:rRNA from 1 species
GAGGAAAAGAAACUAACAAGGAUUCCCUUAGUAGCGGCGAGCGAACAGGGAGAAGCCCAGCGCUGAAUCCUCCGUGCAUUGUACGGCAGGAAAUGUAGCGUUUAGGAGUGUCUGUUAACACGGCGUUUCGCACUUCGCUCAAGUCCAACUUGAACGGGGCCACACAGAGGGUGAUAUGCCCGUGUAGCAGGUGCGUGCGCCGUGUAGGCAUCUCCUCAGAGUCGGUUUGCUUGAGAGUGCAGACCUAAGUGGGUGGUAAACUCCAUCUAAGGCUAAAUAUGACCACGAGACCGAUAGCACACAAGUACCGUGAGGGAAAGGUGAAAAGAACUUUGAAGAGAGAGUUCAAGAGUACGUGAAACUGAGCUGAUGAAAGCGGACAGAAUCGAAAAGUGCGAACAGAGUUGACUCACGCUGACCUCCGAGGCAGGCUGGGUCGGGGACGGUGCAACAGCGGCUCCUCGCGGGUCCUUUGCGUCGCUCCUUCUCAGCCCUGUCCGAGGGGGGACGCUGCACUUCUGCUUAGUAGCACGUCGCGGCUCGUUGGGAGCCGUUCUAAGGCCUGCGGUGGAGCCUUCACCUUGUGUGUUGACCCGCAGUGUCCCGAUCGGCACCCGACGGUGUUGUACAGGCGGGGCCUCUAGUCUGAUCCCAGUAUACAUGAGGAGCAUCAGACCGGUCCCGCCCGUCCGCGGCGCUUCUGCUUUCGAUCCCUGUCCGACCCGUCUUGAAACACGGACCAAGGAGUCUAACAUGUGCGCGAGUCAUUGGGCUCACGAAACCUAAAGGCGAAAUGAAAGUAAAGGGCGAGUUUACUCGUCUCUAGGGGUGAUGGCCGCGCUAACCAUGCCGACCCGCAACCCCGGGGCGUCUCAUUCUCUUUGAGAAGAGGUGCACCUUGAGCGCACACGUUGGUACCCGAAAGAUGGUGAACUAUGCCUGGCCAGGGUGAAGUCAGGGGAAACCCUGAUGGAAGCCCGUAGCGAUUCUGACGUGCAAAUCGAUCGUCAGAGCUGGGUAUAGGGGCGAAAGACUAAUCGAACCAUCUAGUAGCUGGUUCCCUCUGAAGUUUCCCUCAGGAUAGCUGGCAUUCGAGAUAAAGUCUCAUCCGGUAAAGCGAAUGAUUAGAGGCCUUGGGGUCGAAACGACCUCAACCUAUUCUCAAACUUUAAAUGGGUGAGAACUCUGGCUUACUUAACUGAAGCCACGAGUUCCAUCGGAUUUAUGAGUGCCAAGUGGGCCAAUUUUGGUAAGCAGAACUGGCGCUGUGGGAUGAACCAAACGCGGAGUUAAAGCGCCUAAGUCGACGCUGAUGGGAAACCAGAAAAGGCGUUGGUUGCUGAAGACAGCAGGACGGUGGCCAUGGAAGUUGGAAUCCGCUAAGGAGUGUGUAACAACUCACCUGCCGAAGCAACUAGCCCUGAAAAUGGAUGGCGCUGAAGCGUCGCGCUUAUACUCCGCCGUCAGUGCAGAUGGCCCUCCGGGGUCUUGAAGCAUUGAUGAGUAAGAGGGUCGCGUGGGUGUGCGCAGAAGGGUCUGGGCGUGAGCCUGCCUGGAGCCGCCCACGGUGCAGAUCUUGGUGGUAGUAGCAAAUACUCUGGAGAGUCCUUGGAGGACCGAAGUGGAGAAGGGCUCCGGGACAACAGUUGUUGUUCCCGAGUGAGUCGAUCCUAAGCCUAAAGAGAAAUCUUUAGUAUGGUCCAGCCUCUCGGCUGCCAUCGGGCGAAAGGGAAUCCGGUAACCAUUCCGGAACCCGGGUUCGGAACCGUAUUUCAGGUCCUCGUACUUGUCACGGCAACGUGAAUUGCCCCAGAGACGCCCUCGGGUGCCGUCAGGAGAGUUUUCUUUUCUCUUUGAGCUCGCGUACUCCAUGGAAUUCUCUUGCAGAGAGAUAUGGAGCGGCUAUGCGAAGAGCGCCCCACUUGCUGGGGUGUUGGCGCUUACUCCUGGGACCUUGAAAAUCUGGGGUGAGGGCCACGAGUGCAUCCGUCCCGGAUCGUACCCAUAUCCGCAUCAGGUCUCCAAGGUCA